rnacentral:rRNA from 1 species
GCAUGUCGUAACUGGCAGCGCGGCACCUUCGAGUCUGGCGGCGAGUGGGCGGACGGGUGAAGGAUUAUGCAUCGGAAUCUGCCCCGACGUGGGCGCGAUAACUUGGGGAAACUCAAGCUAAUACCGCAUACGUACCAUUAACGGUGGAAAGCAGGCGGACCUUCCGGGCCUUGCGCGGCGCGGAUGAGCCGAUGCCUGCGAUUAGCAUAGUUGGCGGCGGUAAAGGCCCACCAAGGCGACGAUCCGUAGCUGGUCUGAGAGGAUGAUCAGCCACACCGGGACUCAUCGAGACACGGCCCGGACUCGCUACGGGAGGCAGCAGUGGGGAAUAUUGGACAAUGGGCGCAAGCCUGAUCCAGCAAUGCCGACGUGUGUGAAGAAGGCCUUCGGGUUGUAAAGCACUUGCUCAUAUCAGGAAAGAAAUCCCAUGGGUUAAUACCCUGUGGGUGAUGACGGUCACCUGAGGAAUAAGCACCGGCUAACCUUCGUGCCAGCAGACCGCGGUAAUACGAAGGGUGCAAGCGUUAAUCGGAAUCAUACUGGGCGUCUAAAGGGUGCGUAGGCGGUUCGUCUAAAGUUGCGAUGUGAAUAGCCCUGGGCUCAUACCUGGGAAUUGCCGCAUCCAAAACUGAGCGGAGCUUGGGAGUGCGGUAGAGGGAUGGUCGGAAUUCCCGGUUGUAGCGCGUGAAAUGCGUAGAGAUUCGGGAGGCACACAUCGAUGGCGAACAGGCAGCCAUCUGGACCAGCACUGACGCUGAGCGCACGAAUAAGCGUGGCGGAGCAAUACAGGAUUAGAUACCCUGGUAGCUCCACGCCCUAACACGAUGCGAACUGGAUGUUGUGGGCAACUAGGGCCCUCAGUAUCGAAGCUAACGCGUUAACUUCGCCGCCUGGGGAGUACGGUCGCAAGACUGAAACUCUCAGGAAUUGACGGGGGCCCGCACAAGCGGUGGAGUAUGUGGUUUAAUUCGAUGCAACGCGAAGAACAUCUUACCUGGCCUACUCAUGUCCGGAAUUCUGCAAGAGAUGCGGUUGUGCCUUCGGGAUCAAGAUCGGAACACAGCGGUGCUGCAUGGCUGUUCGAUCAGCUCGUGUCGGUGAGAUGUUCAGGGUUACAGUCCGACGCAACGAGCGCAACCCUUGGUCCCUAGUUGCCAGCACCGCUAAUGGUGGGAACUCUAGGGAGACCGCCGGUGACAACACCGGAGGGAAGGUGGGGAUGACGUCAGAGUCAUCAUGGCCCUUACGGCCAGGGCUACACACGUACUACAAUGGAACGUACAGAGGGUUGCGAUACCGCGAGGUGGAGCCAAUCCCAGAAUAACGUUUAUCAGUCCGGAUCGGAGUUGCAACUCGACUCCGUGAAGUUGGAAUCGCUAGUAAUCGGCAGAUCAGAAUGCUAGCGGUGAAUACCGUUCCCGGGCCUUGUACACACCGCCUCGUGCACACCAUGGGAGUGCGGCUGCUCCAGAUAGCUACGUUAGCCUAAACUGGUA